rnacentral:lncRNA from 1 species
GUGUCACAGAUGAAAAGACUGGCAGGAGUUCAUAGGAAAGGAAGAUAAUGAGGACUCCGGGAACUGCAGAAAGCUUCUGUCGAAGGGGAAAUGAACUGGGCUUGGAAGAACUGCAUUAAUAGAUUAGAAAAUCAGAAAUUCAAGGCAAAUGAAUGUGAACAUUCACAUUUUCUUUCCCCUGACGUAGAGAAAUCUUCAUGAGGAUGGAGAACAUAGGAGUUAAGCCACUUUCAGAGGUGGGAAUGGAAAUUUUCAGAUUUGAUGAUGUUCCAGGUAGAGAAAUAACACCAUUGAUUCAAGAAAGAAAAAUGGGCCUAAAAGGUC